UUUGUGGUAAUGAUAGAAACCUGUACAGUAGCCACGGUCAAAUCAAUGUCUUCCAACGGUCAUAACGACCUUACAAACAAGGCCUCCCACUUUCCAAAGAAUAUGACAACUGAAAAUAAGCUGUACCAAUGAUUGAAGAAAGGAUCAGCAGUCAGCACAAACAAACAGGCGUGCAUGUUUUCAAUAUCACCAUCAUCAUCUCCCCACCUCUAUAUAACCCUUAUUCUUCUUUCUCAAUUUCAGAAAACACAAGAAAAAAACAAAAAAAAAGGGGGGGAGUAUAUGUUUUAGGCGAAAACCGGAGCGAACAUUUCUUGUAUCGUCCAAUCUCGCUGCUCGCUAGGCUUGAUCAUCCCAGGACUGUGCGAGGUAAUCAUGGGAGGCUGCGCGAGCAAACCCAAAGACUUGGAUACCAAAAGGGCUCCGGCCCCCGUUGAAGCACCUGCAGGUGCUCCGGCUGCAGAGGCACCCUGCCGCUGACAAGUCUGAGGCAGAAACCGUGGUGCAAGAGAAGAAAGAUGGAGGUGAGGCUAAGGAAGGACUGUUGGUAGAUGUAUCUGCACCAGCCCCCGAGGCCCCCAAGAACGAGGAAGUGAUGAAAAUGGAAGCGAAACCCGUAGCUGAGGAAGCUAUUCCAGUUGCUGUUCCUGUUGAGACCAAGCCAGUAGAAGUGAAGGCUGAGGCUGUGGAGGCCAAGGAACCACAAAAGGAGGAGAAAAAAGAGGUGAACGAGCCACCAAAGGAGGCAGCGGGAACGGUUGCCACCACCUAGAAACCAGCAGCACGAAUGAAAGCUAAACGCAUCAGUAGUUAAAGUAAAAUAAUGUGUUAGGUUUAGUUUUUAUUGCAUUCGUCAUUGUUAGGCAUCAUAUGGAGUGCUUUUAUAUGUUUAUUUGUACGUUGCGGCCCAAGGGACUAAAUUCUGUACAAUAGACGAAUGAUCAUCGCUUUGUACUAAUUAUUGAAAACAUUUCUUUAAGAUUAAUGGUUGCUACCGUCAA